UACGUAGGUGGCAAGCGUUAUCCGGAAUUACUGGGCGUAAAGCGCACGCAGGCGGUCUUUUAAGUUUGACGUGAAAGCUCCCGGCUUAACUGGGAGAGGUCGUUGAAUACUGGAAGACUUGAGGAAAUGAGAGGGGUGUAGAAUUCCUGGUGUAGUGGUGGAAUGCGUAGAUAUCAGGAGGAAUACCAGUGGCGAAAGCGGCACCCUAGCAUUUUUCUGACGCUCAUGUGCGAAAGCGUGGGGAGCGAACAGG
rnacentral:rRNA from 1 species